AGUCGAGCGAGUCUGCCUUGAAGAUCGGAGUGCUUGCACUCUGUGAAACAAGAUACAGGCUAGCGGCGGACGGGUGAGUAACACGUGGGUAACCUGCCCAAGAGAUCGGGAUAACACCUGGAAACAGAUGCUAAUACCGGAUAACAACAGAUGAUGCCUAUCAACUGUUUAAAAGAUGGUUCUGCUAUCACUCUUGGAUGGACCUGCGGUGCAUUAGCUAGUUGGUAGGGUAACGGCCUACCAAGGCGAUGAUGCAUAGCCGAGUUGAGAGACUGAUCGGCCACAUUGGGACUGAGACACGGCCCAAACUCCUACGGGAGGCAGCAGUAGGGAAUCUUCCACAAUGGACGCAAGUCUGAUGGAGCAACGCCGCGUGAGUGAAGAAGGGUUUCGGCUCGUAAAGCUCUGUUGUUGGUGAAGAAGGACAGGGGUAGUAACUGACCUUUGUUUGACGGUAAUCAAUUAGAAAGUCACGGCUAACUACGUGCCAGCAGCCGCGGUAAUACGUAGGUGGCAAGCGUUGUCCGGAUUUAUUGGGCGUAAAGCGAGUGCAGGCGGCUCGAUAAGUCUGAUGUGAAAGCCUUCGGCUCAACCGGAGAAUUGCAUCAGAAACUGUCGAGCUUGAGUACAGAAGAGGAGAGUGGAACUCCAUGUGUAGCGGUGAAAUGCGUAGAUAUAUGGAAGAACACCGGUGGCGAAGGCGGCUCUCUGGUCUGUUACUGACGCUGAGGCUCGAAAGCAUGGGUAGCGAACAGGAUUAGAUACCCUGGUAGUCCAUGCCGUANACGAUGAGUGCUAAGUGUUGGGAGGUUUCCGCCUCUCAGUGCUGCAGCUAACGCAUUAAGCACUCCGCCUGGGGAGUACG
rnacentral:rRNA from 1 species